UCUUAAUUCGAAGAAAUAAGAAUGAAAAUCCUUAUGACUACAUUGAGUGUAUAUACGACAUAUACUCAAGGAAAUGGUAAAGUACCAUUUGACCCGAAAUAAUGAAACCUUUAUAGCUAAUUGGUAGCUUAAAGUGACUACAAUCAAAGAUAUUGGUUGACUUUGAAGAAACCAUCUUUAACGUAGUCUUGGUUUCAAUUAAUUCGAAGAUUGCUAGCUACAACUAAAUGGUGAUUCAAUGUUUGGCCAUAAUAUGGGUUUCCGAAACCAUUAUUAAGAUAGUCUUGAUAAUAUAUGUCUAAAACUAUGAAUCACAAGACAUGUAAGUUGUAGAGAUCCAUCCAUCAUGAAUCUUAGCAAGCUAGUGGGAGCUAUAAGCGUCUUAUGAGAGAAAAGAUCAAAUCGUUUGAUUUCUCAUAAAGAUGUAAAUGUAUCUUUUGUUUACUAGGUUUACAAAAGAUUAGUGGGAGUUAAUUAUGUUCCUAAAUUUGAAUAUAUAUAUACACAUAUAUGAUAUAUUAAUUUUGGAAAUGAAAAGAAUACUUCUUCAUUAAAGUUAUGACUUUAAACUUUCUAUAAAGAUAGAAUGGAUAUAGGAGACAUAGUCUAUAUACAUGGGAUGGAAAUCUACAAUGAUAGAUUUCAAGAUAUAAUUGGAUUAUAUCAAUCCCUAAUAAUAGACAAAAGAUGCUAGGAAGUUUCUCAUAUGAUGAUAAACUUCAAUAAGAAGAACAACUCUAGUGAGACUAGGAUGUAGCUCUUCUCAAAGGGAACGUACCCAUUGACUCCCAAAGAAAUAAUGCGUAAAUAGAAUCCUUUAUGCAUACGCAGAAAGGUGAUUUACGUAUUUCAUAUUGUAUGAAAAAUGUUGAUAUGAGUUGUACCAAGAUCGGUACAAGACGAUAUCAAUGCAAGCCCAGGAUCAGAACCAAGGCAACUAUCAAGUGAAUCCUUAAGUAUUUGAGAAAUAAUAAAGGAUGGAUUCCUCAAGAUGAGGAAGAAUUAGAGUAACGUAAUGGAAGCGUAAAUGUAUUAGCUUAUGAAUCUAAUCCAUCAUUGUAUGUUUCUUCAUUAUGAAUGAAGAGAUAAUCAGAUAUCUCUUUAUUAUGACUAAAGAGAUAUUUGGAUGGAAACAUUAAAAGUAAUGACUUUAGUGUGUUCCAUUAUGCAUGCAAAAUAUAUUGCCAUAAAGAAGCUUACAACAAUGUUGUUUGGAUGAGAGAGUUCAUUUAUGAACUCUCUAUUCGGUUCCAACCAGAAAGUGUUUCUAGUGUACCGACACUACGACACUAAUGGGGGCGAUAGCUCAAGCCAGGGAAUCAAGGUCUCAUCAAGAUCCGAACUCAAAUGAGAGACUAAACCAUAUGAUUAAGAAUCAUGUAUAAUGGUGACGUCGUUAUUCUCAAGGUUGCUUUUAUGGAUAACAUAUAGAUAUCCAUUGUCUAGGCCUACUACUCAGCCAUUCUUGAAAUGAAUACAGAAGAGGUAUCAUCAUUGAUGACCAAGCUGAUUGGCUCUAGUGCAAGUGGGAGAUUGUUGGAAAUGUGCCCUAAAACCAAUCAUAUGAUGAUACUUUACGGACAUUUUACAUGUUAAACUAAUCUAGUUUAAUAUCAAGGGCAAAAAUUAUUGUUUUAAGCCGUCUCAUAUAAAUGUUAUAUGCUUAAAAGAUAAGUCCAAGGAAUAUGUAAUUAGGAGAAUGUAAUUUAAACAAGUUAGAUUCAUGAGACCAUUCUCUUUCGUAUACAUAUCCUAAACGUUCCUGAUCAUAGGAUUGCCAAUUGGACAUUGACAGUCCGUUAAGAUCAGUACGUGUUGUGUCUUCUCUUAGGGAGAGUGACUGGUCUCGAGUCAAUGGUGUAGGUGCUCAAUAGAGAAUGAGUCCACUGAACACGAUCAAUGAGGAGUUCUCAUACUCAUGUCACAUGAGAACUCAUGGUUGGGAUAAUGCAAAGUAGUCAUUUGACCUAAGGCAUCAUAGUUGUCUUGUGGUUAGGUCCUUGAUCUUUGAAUAUGUCAAAGUCACUUGGUUAGAGGGUGUCCAUGGCAUAGUUGGGGUUAAGUCACUUAGCCAUGGAGGCAAGUGAAUGCGCAACAAGGGAUCUCUAACAUUCAAACCGUUUAAGGGAGAAUACUCUAUGAUAUGAUUAAGAAUCUCUAGCCAGAGUAUGAAUGAGAUUUAGGAAGUUAUUCCAAAUCACAUUCAAGGUAAUCAUAUAAGUAAAUGAAUCACAUUGGAUAGUAGACAUGAUUAAACUAUCAAACCAAACAAUGUGGUCAAGAGUAUUGUAUUAGAGAAAUACCGUAUUGCAUUGUAAUCCUAAACUGAAUAUGUUCUCCACCUCUUCUGAUUAGCUUGGGUAACCAUGACAUACUGCUAGGUGUCACUCAUGGUUUGUGGAAGCCCUAAAUGUGUAUAAUCACUAAAGGGAGAAUUGAAAGCAAGUUUCAAUUCACAAUCGAUUUGAAAGAGUUCUAAUCGCCCACUGCCUCACUAAAAGAAACCUAAUGGAUCGUACACCGUGUAAGGUAGAGAUUGAAGAAACAAUGGAGAUGAGUAAGGAUAAUUAAAUGGGAUAUGUCUUAAAAGGUGAAUCCAUGGACAAUGGAUCGAUGGAAGAAGUAAUCUAAUGAUGUUAGAUUGCAGAGACCUUCUUCACAUAACCAUGAUGUCCAAAAAGGUUCCUGGUCAUAGGAUUGUUGGAGGGACACUGACAAUACAUAGACCAGUACAUACUAUUAAUAGGAGCAUAUUUAUGCGCCUUAGUUAGCUAGUUCUUAUGCAUUUCCAUGGUGUUUUCUUAGUUAAAGUAGUAUUUUAAGCUAGUUUUAUGUGUUUUCAGGUUUUAAGGCCAAAGGAUGCAAGAAGAUGCAUUUUGGAGCUUUUUGGAGCAAAAUUGGGCUUGGAAUGAUUAUCACAUAAUUUGAGCCAAGGUUUGGACGAAUUUGAAGACUUGAAGAUGAUGAUUCCUACUUGAACAAGGUUUCCUAGUUGA
rnacentral:lncRNA from 1 species